GCGCAUACAAAGAGAAGCGACCUCGCGAGAGCAAGCGGACCUCAUAAAGUGCGUCGUAGUCCGGAUUGGAGUCUGCAACUCGACUCCAUGAAGUCGGAAUCGCUAGUAAUCGUGGAUCAGAAUGCCACGGUGAAUACGUUCCCGGGCCUUGUACACACCGCCCGUCACACCAUGGGAGUGGGUUGCAAAAGAAGUAGGUAGCUUAACCUUCGGGAGGGCGCUUACCACUUUGUGAUUCAUGACUGGGGUGAAGUCGUAACAAGGUAACCGUAGGGGAACCUGC
rnacentral:rRNA from 1 species